GUCCUUAUCUCUUGCUCAAGUGCAACAUAGCAGGGGAAUCCAUUUUUUCUUUCAAUUACUGUCCUUGAGCUGUCUUUAAUCUUUGUAAGCAUUAUGUUAAUAUUGUCAAGCACUUCUCCCCCUCUGCUGCAGGGAUGCACACCUUUGGGGUUCCCUGCUUGCGGUGAUCAGUCACUUGUCUGGAUUUGGUGUUCUCCCAGAGUCCGAUCCUUUUGGUGAUGCUGCACAUACCCCCACAGCUACAUGCAUGCACCCAGUGUGGCACUGAACCCAGCACUCCCCACGCAGCCGGGCUCAAGCCUUUCACAGCAGCACAUCCUCUGCUUCUCUCCCAUAGGAAGGCAGCGUGUGCAGAUUUUUUUUUAAGCUAAUUAACUAUAUAAAACUAUCAAAACUGUGGAGGGUUGUGCUUUAUCACCAAGAGCAGCGUGAAGGGGCCACUGGCCUGUUACAGAGCCAGACCCCAGGUUUUGGAUGCUCAAAUCUGGGAAAGAUUUUCUCCCAACUUUGCAUCUCUCAAAGGCACUCCAAGAGCCACUGACACCUCUUAUGGGCAUAGGAAGGGGAAAGGAACGUGUAACCAGACCAUCUGUUGUAACACCACAGGUCAUUAUAGUUUUCAAUAAACUAUUUUUAGCCCAGGCAGUUUACGAACACGCAAGCACUGCUACACACUUUCUGCUGGAAGAAGAAAGCAAUAGCCGUUAUUGAGAGCUAGAAAGUAAAUGGCAGAAAAUAGUGUGGGGUCUCCAAAGCAAACAGCUAUCCCUUCUUGUUGCUGGCAGAUGUUUUCCUAACCUGUUGUUAAAGAGCUGUGAUGAUGGCGUUACACCCUCCCCAGCAAUCUCCUCCGGUGCUGAACUCUUCGUGCCCUCAGAGCACUUUCCCUAAUGUGUAAUCUGGGUCACCUUUGUGGCAAUUUAAGGCCAUUAUUUGUUGCCCUACCACUUCCCUGGAAGAAAGGAGCAGAGCAGACAAGAUAAGAGCAAGAAGACGGCAGCAUCCACUCCGUUUCCUAAGGGGUGAGCCCGCACUGACCUUCCUGCGGUUUCCAGCUUGUUUCAUUCCUCGUGCUCUCGUUACGUACUGCCAUACUCUGCUUUCCACUCCAUAAAGCCCAGCGGCAAACGUGCCUUGGUGAGAUGAUCAACGAGAACUUGGAGGGUUCAUUUUGUCGCAGUUCUAAAAUGUCAGAUUAUUCUGCAUAGCCACAUUAGUACCGUUAGCUUUAAUAUACUUGAUGCCUAAUCCGCCAGGGCUUCUUUAUUGACAGGCUGCAUCUCUAUUUGAGCUUGAAUAAACUCAUGCAUAAAAUGUUAUCAGCAAUGACAGCUGAAAAGAGGUCUAUUGCUCUUUAAAUUUUUGAUGGGAGGCAAGCAUUCUGUCAUUUGUGAUAGCAUUAUAUGUAAUCCAACGCAACAACUUGAUAGUCUGAUAGAACAACAUUCCAGCUUCCCCACUACCAUUGUAAAGGGAUGCUGUGUACAAGCUGCUGCUAGACGCACUAAUAUCAGCACUGGCAGCUGGAAUAAGAGUCAUGCUUCUCUCUUCACAUUUCUAGCAAACACCCCUUUCCUUUAUUGAUUCUUCUUGGGGGUGGACAUCUUCUUUAUCCACCCCAAAUUCCUGAUGAAACUGGGCUGGUUUGGGCUGGUUUGGUAACUUUGGUUACAAGAUAAUGGUGCAUGUGACUCCUGCAGUUUGGUGCUGUGCACUUGUGCUGCACCCUGAGCCUCGGGGCAGAGGCUCCGCCAAGCCUUUGCUCUCUGCAUACUGCGAUCCCAGUCAUGUAAGGAAGUGUGACAUGCUAGUACAGAAGCCAAAUAUUGUGAUGGCUAUUGGUUUAUUUAUUGAAUUAUGACUUUUUAUAUUGCAAUAGCUUAACUGCUUGAGGUCAGGCAAUUCAGAAAUUAACUCCAAGUUAAUUCUCAUGAGAAGAAGAUCAAUACAUGGGAUAAAAGAUAUCCAUUGGAUUAUGAACAGUUCAUGUACUGAAGAAAUAUCUACUGUGCUUUUUCUUUAAGUGGCCUUGAUUUUCACUCCUUUAUACCUCUUGCAUGCUAGUAUAAUUGAUUUAAGUCGAUGAAAAUCCAGUGGAGCAAUUCAGUUUAAUUUAGCUGAGCUGCACCAGCAUAAAACUGGAGUGGCAGAGCGGACCAGCGUUAACAUCACAGCUUUGGCAUUAACAUCAAGGGCCAGUUUCUUUUUUCACAUACUCCACUGCAUAUAACAACAGUAGUAAGCAACCAAGUGACACUGAGAGAUACCUAAAGCUAUGCUCAAAUGAAGGAGCACGUUUUAAUAUUGCACCGUAUGUUGCUAAGCCAGCUGUCAGACAAAACUUACAGGCAGGUGGAUGCCAGCUCUGUUCUGUGAACAGCUGAGGUGUAAGCAGUUUUAAGGCACAGACCUGCAGAGGAGGCUGCACUUCACCUGAUCUCUGGCCAUAAGGGAGCAUUACGAUGGCCUCACCCGACCUGUGACAGAACAGAAAUCCCCAAAUUUCACAUGAAAGCUCUCCCUCUUCACAGUCUGUGGAUUGUGGUCCCACCGCCUUUGGAAAUCAAAUGCUGUUUUCCCCUGAUUGCUCCUGCAGUGGGAAAUGGUGGGGAGAUCUGAGCUUCUGGAAUCAACUGGAAUUUUUCUAAUAAGUUUGAGUCCAGUUACUGUGCAUAAAAACAAUUUUCAUUUCUGUGGUGUGUUCUUUUGCAGGGCUUCCUGAGGCCUUUGCUGAGAUAGGUGAUGGUUAGGUUCUUAUAUUGCUCUAAUUCACAGUCUCUUGACAAACUUCUUGGGUCUGGAAACACAAGCGUGUGAGUGAUAUAAGUAAAUGCGUAAGUAAGUGUCAGCAGUUAAUAGAGGUAAAUUAAUGGUUAAUCAGACCACACAUGCAUAAUUAGUUCCGGGUUCUAGGUUGAAAGUAAUAAGAGAAAAACUGCAGUUAUUAAGAUAAUCCCGCCGUGUUGUAACCAAACCCCUGGCUCCUCCGUACCUCUCACCAAGCCGAUGGCCAGGAGCCGUGUCCACCAGCACCAGGGACCACAGCGCUCAGCCCUGUACCCACCCUGUGCUCGGGCUGAGCCUCAGGGCUUGUCCCUCCGAAGCUCUCCUGAAAGGCUGUGAUUGUGGAGAAGGGUGUUUGUGCUUGUGGUUGGAGGUUAUCUCCCUGUCUUCCUGGAUGCUCUCCCUGCAGAGUGAGGAGCAAGCUGUGCCCUGAUGCCCAUGGCUCACGGUGCCUCUGAGCAGCUCUCCUCUGGCAGCGUUUACCAAGCAGGCAUCUACUGAAAUCCUUUGGGCUAAGAUUGCAAAAAGGGUCUUUGUGAUUCUCUGAGAGCUAAAUUGCUUAAUUCCAGCUCAGCAAGGGCCACUCCAUUAAAACAAUCUCUCUGUUUUAAAUGUCAAGAACAAGGCCUUUUGCUGGAAGAUCAAUAGAUGCAUGGGAAGAAGUAUUUUCAGUUUUGCAUCCUUCAUUCAUCAUUAUCUUCAUUACUUGCUGGUUGCGAGGCUGCCCCCCAGCCACGCAGGAGGGACUCUGGCUGCUGUCUCUCUUGUGUCUCCUCUGCUGCUGGAAUCUGUCCCACCUCCCCCUCCAGCCUGGGUGGGACAAUGGUGUGGGGAGCGGUGGCUUUGUGACAGCAGCGAGGUCUCCAGGCUGGGCAAGAGCUCCGGGGACAGGACUGUCAGGUGUCUACACCCGGGUCUGCUGGGGGAGCACCAUGCUCCAAGGUGCUCGCUAAGGGCAGACUUUUUUGGCCAUAAUUUGUCUUCGCUGUUGUUAUUAAAAUGUAAAAUAGGAAAUUGGAGUCGAGGAAGGAAGUCGGGAGAGCUGGAUACACGCAGUGACUCCAGCCUGGAAGCUCCCUGCCUGCUAAUGAGGCAUGAAGCACCACGUGGCUUUGUAAUGCAGAGCUCACUACUAGAUGAAGCUGGACAGCUUGUCUUCCUGGGGAAAACCAAGUGGCAACUGUGAGUUAAGCUCCAGCUAUGGGGAAACUUCACUUUACAAAUGGGCUGUUCCCUGUCUUCCCUAACAGCCGCCGUCUGUUCUGCUGCUGACCACGCUGGCAUUUUGUAUGGCGCAGAAGACACUUACUCACAAUGUAACUACCUGUAACAGCAGCUAAGAGAUCUGAGAGAGAGGCCAAAGAUGCAUAUUUAACUGUGGACAGCUUUUAAUAGUUCUUAAAAUGCCUUCUCAAUGAGAACUUAACUCGGGAGUUCAAAUAAAUGGAGUGAAUACUGUGAUUUCAUCUUUCCUAAUGUGCAUCCCAGCCUGGCUCAAAGAAUCUGGCUAUUUCACUUCAAAUGCCUUUGCAUUCACGGGUUAAUUUUUGAAUGCUGGUGUUUUAGGUCUUAUUUACACUGUAUAUUUUCAGGAAACACACAUCAACUCCAACGAUCUUAAUUAGAGUCUUUGGAAAAACCCAAUAUGCUAUAAUUCUUCCGCUGAGGUCUAUAUGGAAAACAAGUAACAUAUUUCAAAUGUAGUGGUAACAAACAAACAAGUGUGCAUAGCCCCAGUAUAUCCACCCAGUAUAUACACACACACUUCCCUAAUAUGCUUGCUUAGACUUUACAAUCUGUUUAUUAAUUCCUGAAUAGACUUGAUAUGCCCUCUGGAAAAAAUGCUAAAAUAAUAUCUCUCAAUUGGCUUCGCUGUUAGCAUGCCUCUAAUUAACUAAUGUACACCUCCACUUGCUAUUAGUUUCAUGAUUCUUAACACCAGAGUUGUUAGGUGCCAGCUAUAAAAAAAUUUAACAGCUCUCCCGUUACCACUUUUCUCCUAAGUACAUGAAAGUGCCUUCACAUAUUUGACCUUUCCCUUCCCGACUCCCACAUUUUAACCCUUCUUUCCCAAGAUGCAGCCAAGCAUCUGCUGCCUGCUGAAGACGCAGCAUCCCCGUGGCUCAGCACAGGGCUUGUACCCCCCCAGCACGGCUCUGAGGAUGCAGCCCCCGACUGCUGCUCCCUGAGGAGAAAAGCCCUGCUUGUGUGACCCACAGCAAAGACCACCGCACUUCUCAAAUGAGAGAUGCUAUGGCAGGAGCUGUCAGUCAGGUGUUAAAAUAUCCAUCCCCCUUCCUCUCCAAAUGCACCAGUAACUCCUUGGUCAGCCCACAGCCUAACACCCACUAAUCACCAGGAAGGCAAGAGCAAAUCCACAGGAUUAUUUUCCUUUUUCAAGGUAAGCAGGAUAAUGUAAUCAGCUGGAGGCUGGCCACGAGGCUGACAAAUCUGCCACACAAGCCGCACCCAGCAAUUAAAGAGAACAUCCCUGUCAGAUGGGAUCAGUUCAAUCACCACUAUCGCAGUGACCCUCCGGCCCAGCACUGAACCAGUGGCCAAAAAAAUGACUCGGAGGGAAGGAUGCCCUGUCCUGAGCAGCUCCUCCUGGACACCACACCUGCAUCUGGAGGUUGGUCAGCCAGGCACUGCCAAGCUUGGGCUGGCAGGUGGAGCUGGCUGAGACUACACGCCGGAGGGGCAUGGCUUCGGGCCACCAUCAUUACAUACAUUUUCCUCUUAUAAUUCACAGAUGAUGAAAAUUCUGAUUUUUACCCAUUCAUUCAAGAAAGAAAAACUUUCCUGUCCAAGCAGAAAGCACAGGCAGAGCCAUUUCCACUGACCUCUGAUGCUGUGAGCAUACUGCAUGCCAUUGGCAAUUUUUGUCCAUUUGUAAAACAAAGCCCUAAAUCCAUCACGGUGCACGCCAAAGGAACUGGUCAGUGCAAGAACUGCCCCACAGAGCUGUACUAACUGGCUGCCUUGCUCAGGACCCUGCCUGGUGGGAGAUGCUCGGAGCAGAGCGAGGGGAAGGUGCAGCAUGAGCUCUUCUUUUACCCCCCGGUAUCGCUGCACGGUGUAUGGCAUUUUUUGGCCAGACAUGUUCUGCAGCAGCUAAUAGACCACUGGAUGUAUCUUGCCUCUUUGGGAUAUCCUACAUAACAUCCCACAGCAGCCUGUUGCAGCUCAACAACGCAGGUGUGAAAAAACACCUCCUCCUGUGACAGUGUUACUUCAUCAGUGACAAAGCCUGGCAGGAGGUGAAAGCCCUGGAAAUGAGAUCUUUGAGGCCUUUUGCCAGCAAACUGGCAGCUGAGGGCUACAUCCAUCUACCCCUGGGAGCAGUCCCUGAUUCACUGGUCAAAGGAUGGGAAUGGCUCCCACCUGCUUGGUGCAAAGCCAGCCGUCCUGGGAGUUACCAACAGAUCCUCCCCCAGCCCUGUGGGAUGUCUCUGAGGCCUUAAAACAUACUUCUCUGCUUUUUUUCCACUGCCUAAGACAAGGGGAGUCUUGUACCUGGUGUAACGCUGGAUGUGUCUGCUGUCCGUGUGUGGGAGGGCUCAGCAGCAUGCAAGAGGCUGGACUGGCACCACGCUGUCCAUGCCACUUCAUGGGGCUGCUCCCCAUGGCAAAUCCUCCUCAGCAUCGCCGUUGGCUUUGUGUCAGAGCUCUGUGUCCGCAGAGCUGAGCCAAGGCACAGGCACGUGCACGCAGAGUGCAGACGAUCAAGGGACCAGCACUGAUACGCAAACCGGGCUGUGAAGAUACUCAGCAUCACAGACCCACCCAGGAGUGUCCAUUGUGACACCUCAGGAGUCACUGGAACAUUAGAGGGACGCCACACCUGCUGGGGAAAGCACCCAUAAGUAGCAGCCCCCUGUGACAGCCAGGAGGUGUAACUGGCUGCAGGCAGUAGCACAUGAAACAGGCAGACAGGUGUCACCAACCCAGCAGAGCACGAAGCCAAAUCCGGCCAUUCAACAGUCAGGAUUUAAGGCCAAACCAACAGCCUCAGAGGGAAGUUGGCUCUCCCCAUUCAUAGCCAGUUCCUGACGCAGGCUUUGGAUGAAGGCCUUGCCACGUGUGCCUGCAUUGCUGCUAUCCACGGGGACUUUCAGUGAAUAUACAGCUGCUCUGUAGAGCUGAAUUGAUUGAAGCCCUUACGGGCAGAUCUGCAGCUGGUCACCACUGGCUUUCUGAAACACGAGCUUGUUGUUCGGUGUUUUGUCCUGUAGUGCAAGCACUAGUGGCAGGCAGAUGGGAUAUGAGCAGGAGGCCCCUCCACAGCAGGAUGCCUCUGCUCUCACCAAACCUUGAGCCCUGGAGGCUGAACCAGCUCCAGAGGAUUCCCCUGAUCAGGCCUUAAAAAGAUGACCCCAGUGCAGAAGAGGAACAGCCGCUGCGCUUGGGUCCACAGACUUGCCUUGUUCCUGCUGUCAGCUGACACCAGCUACGCUGUCAUUUAGCAAAAUAGAUCAAUAAUUAGCUGCUACUGCUUAAAAGCAGUUAAAAAGCACAUUAUUUGUGGUUUAUUACUUACAGUUAGUAAUAUAAUAAAAUUAAAAUAACAUAAACUAGUGGUGUGAUUGUCUUGAGAGCUGAAA